GAGGGUAUAGCUCAGUGGUAGAGUGCGUGCUUAACAUGCACAAGGUCCUGGGUUCAAUCCCCCGUACCUCCA
rnacentral:tRNA from 1 species